AGAGCGAACGCUGGCGGCAGGCCUAACACAUGCAAGUCGAACGGAUCCUUCGGGGUUAGUGGCGGACGGGUGAGUAACACGUGGGAACGUGCCUUUUGGUUCGGAAUAGCUCCUGGAAACGGGUGGUAAUGCCGAAUGUGCCCUUCGGGGGAAAGAUUUAUCGCCAUUAGAGCGGCCCGCGUCUGAUUAGCUAGUUGGUGAGGUAAAGGCUCGCCAAGGCGACGAUCAGUAGCUGGUCUGAGAGGAUGACCAGCCACAUUGGGACUGAGACACGGCCCAAACUCCUACGGGAGGCAGCAGUGGGGAAUCUUGCGCAAUGGGCGAAAGCCUGACGCAGCCAUGCCGCGUGAAUGAUGAAGGUCUUAGGAUUGUAAAAUUCUUUCACCGGGGACGAUAAUGACGGUACCCGGAGAAGAAGCCCCGGCUAACUUCGUGCCAGCAGCCGC
rnacentral:rRNA from 1 species